rnacentral:misc_RNA from 1 species
UCAAACUUGGUCAUUUAGAGGAAGUAAAAGUCGUAACAAGGUUUCCGUAGGUGAACCUGCGGAAGGAUCAUUAGAAAUGUUUUGUUCACCCAGUUCUUGGUUCAAUUUGUUCUGCCUUGAAAGAGGUUGGAAUGAUUGGCCGGACUUUGGGCACAUCAUUUCCCAGAUCUUUUCAAAUAAUUUAUUUGAAAAGAUCUGGAUACCUUUUUGGUUGGGGGGGAGAAGGGUUCCCUUUUCUCUUCAAUCAUAUCUACACCAUUAAACUUUUUCUAAAGUCUGAACCUGUUAUAAGUAUUUAUGUAAAAAGCAUUUUUUUAUAUAAAUAUGAAUAUAAUAACAAAAACAACUUUCAACAAUGGAUCCCUCGACUCUCCCAUCGAUGAAGAACGCAGC